rnacentral:rRNA from 1 species
AAAUUGAAGAGUUUGAUCAUGGCUCAGAUUGAACGCUGGCGGCAGGCCUAACACAUGCAAGUCGAACGGUAACAGGAAGCAGCUUGCUGCUUUGCUGACGAGUGGCGGACGGGUGAGUAAUGUCUGGGAAACUGCCUGAUGGAGGGGGAUAACUACUGGAAACGGUAGCUAAUACCGCAUAACGUCGCAAGACCAAAGAGGGGGACCUUCGGGCCUCUUGCCAUCGGAUGUGCCCAGAUGGGAUUAGCUUGUUGGUGGGGUAACGGCUCACCAAGGCGACGAUCUCUAGCUGGUCUGAGAGGAUGACCAGCCACACUGGAACUGAGACACGGUCCAGACUCCUACGGGAGGCAGCAGUGGGGAAUAUUGCACAAUGGGCGCAAGCCUGAUGCAGCCAUGCCGCGUGUAUGAAGAAGGCCUUCGGGUUGUAAAGUACUUUCAGCGGGGAGGAAGGGAGUAAAGUUAAUACCUUU